rnacentral:rRNA from 1 species
AGUCCUACGGGACGCAGCAGUGAGGAAUAUUGGUCAAUGGGCGGGAGCCUGAACCAGCCAAGUCGCGUGAGGGAAGACGGUCCUAUGGAUUGUAAACCUCUUUAGGCGGGGCGCAAUGCCGGGCACGCGUGCCCGGAGGGAGAGUACCCGCAGAAUAAGCAUCGGCUAACCCCGUGCCAGCAGCCGUGGUAAUACGGAGGAUGCGAGCGUUAUCCGGAUUUAUUGGGUUUAAAGGGUGCGUAGGCGGAUUUUUAAGUCAGCGGUAAAAUCUCCGGGCCCAACCCGGGCCGGCCGUUGAAACGGGG